AAAAAAAGUUUACGAAACUUGUGUUGUUUUGAACAAUGCCUGCAUGUCUUUCACUUUGAGCACCUGGUCACUCAUCCAUAGCCAUGUUAAUGACUACUCUGCCUGUGCACCGCAGGGAUCACAGAGUAGGGUGUUAAGACCUAUGGUCAGCAUGCUCUGAGGGAGGCACUCUCAAAGGGCGUGGGUGCGGUUGUUUUGGACUUCACUGACAGACAAGGGUCAGGGUACAGAAAGCCAGUGUCCUUGUUUUCAGCAGAGCUCUGGGACAUGUAGACACAGUAGCCUGAUAAGAAUUGAUGUCGCCUGAUUGGUGGAGAUAGUGAGCUGAAGUGAUUUUAUAACCAUUGUGUUGAUUGGUGGACAGCAACCUAUGUCAGUUGUGGCUCCAAAGUCCUACAAAAGAACAAAUUGUGGACGUAAAUGUGAUGUGGAGCAUUAGAAGAUACCAUGGAUUUAAAGCAUAAAUGAAUUUUUCCGUUCUUCAAACAUGCCACCUGAUUGUACAUGGUGACACAGUCGAUCAGAUUUGACAACUCCAAGUGAAAUUUCAUUUUAU